AUGGAUGGCCGCGACUUCGCACCGCCGCCGCAUCUGCUGUCGGACCGCGGGAGCCUGGGCCACCGCAGCGCCGCCGCUGCCGCGCGCCUCGCCCCGGCCGGGCCGGCUGCGCAGCCCCCGGCGCACUUCCAGCCCGGAAAGUACUUCCCGUCGCCGCUGCCCAUGGCUUCGCACACAGCCAGCAGCCGCCUGAUGGGGAACUCUCCGGCCUCCUCUUUCAUGGGCAGUUUCCUCACCAGCAGUCUGGGCUCAGCGGCCUCCGCGCAUCCCAGUGGCCCCAACCCCUCCCCCUCGGAUCAGGCCUACCGUGGCCCCCACCCCGCCACCUCCCAGAUCUGGUUCUCCCACUCGCACGAAGCUCCAGGGUACCCCAGAUUUUCAGGGAGUCUGGCAUCUACCUUCCUACCCAUGAGCCACUUGGAUCACCAUGGAAACAGCAAUGUUCUCUAUGGGCAACAUCGUUUCUAUGGAACCCAAAAAGAUAACUUCUACCUGCGCAACCUGCCGCCCCAGCCCACGCUCCUGCCCGCCAACCACAACUUCCCCAGCGUGGCCCGGGCCGCCCCCGGCCACCCCAUCGGCUCCUGCAGCCGCGACCGGGGCGAGGCCGGCCACCUGCAGAAGGGCGCCAAGGAGUUCGACCGCUUCCUCAUGGGCAAAGAGAAAGCCGGCAAGGCGGCCGAGGGCAAGGAGCGGCCGGCGGUGGAGGAGGACGUCGUCAGGGGGCGGCACAAGCUGGUGCUGCCCGUACCGGGGGACUCGCACUGCAAGGAGGGUGGCAUGGCCCGGGGUGCCUGCGAGGGCCGCCCCAAACACCUGGCCUCCUGCCUUCUCAACACCAAGGUGCUCGACGGCGAGCUGGGCAGGUCCGCGCUGGCCAGCUGCGCGGGGGGUGUGCUGGGGCGGCCGGGUGUGGGCGUGCCGGCCUCCGGACGCUGCACCAAGGAGGCAGCCGGCCCCGUGGAGCCUGGGCCAGCCUUCGGCGAGUGCCUGGAGCGGAGGCAGCUGCUGCACCAUGCCGUGCCCUACACGGUGCCGUCUGGCCUGCCCGCCGGGCCGCCCCCACCCCUCAGCACGGCCGCCGGCUCCUUCCCCUGCCUGCAGCUGCAUGGGGGCCCGGAUGGGCUCUGCCCCCUGCAGGACAAAGUCCCCCGGGACCCGAAGGCCAGCGGGCCCACCUUCGUGCCUUCCGUGGGACACCUGGCCGACAAGAGCCGCCCGUUCCAGGUGGCCGAGGCCUGUGCCGUGGCGGGUGAGGGCAAGGACCGGCACCUGGAUGGGGCUGCAGUGCCUGACCAUGCUGCGCUUUAUGGGGUCUCCUAUGCCCACCUGAAGGCCGAGGGCAAGGGCGAGCGGCGGCCCGGGAGCUUCGAGGCGGCCCUCAACCCCCGGCUGAAGGGCCUGGAGUACCUGGACAGCGCAGGCCCCGAGGCCCCCUUCCCGGGGCUCCCCAAAGCAGGUCUGGACAAAAGCGGCUACUUUGAGUUACCCGCCCCCUCACAGGACUGCGCCCGGCCAAGUCACCAGGACCCGUUGGGCGGGAAAGUCACCCAGGCCUGCUGCACUUUAGACAAGACUGCCAGCAAGGAGACCCCUGUGGGUGCCCCCGGGGCCCAGAAGGUGGCUCGUAUCCGGCAUCAGCAGCAGUCGGUGGCCCCCGAGGUAGAGCCGGGGGGCAGCGGGGCUGAGGCCAAGCGCAAGUCUCUGGAGCUGGCGUCUCUGGGCUACGGCGGGCCGCCCCCGCACCCCUGGAGUGUCCAGUCGGGCCAGGGGGCCACCGUGGCCAUCAGCGAGGAGUGCAAGGCUGGCGCCUACCUGGACCCCUUUGGCGGCACCCUGCAGCAGGCCGCCCUCCUGCCUCAGGACCUGCCCGCCCCGCCUGACGAGGUCUCGGCCAUGAAGAACCUGCUCAAGUACAGCAACCAAGCACUGGUCGUCGGCCAGAAGGUGCCCUUCGUGGGCCUGGGGGGCCUGAAGGCCAGCUGUGCCCAGCAGGACGGGAAGUUCCCCGCCUCCAAGGGCACGGGCCAGGCUCCCGGCGACAUGGAAAGGCCCGACUGUGCCCGAAGCCGAGAGCACGACGCCCCGCAUGGCGAUGGGGAGGUGCGGCAGCCGCCUGUGGGCAUUGCGGUGGCCUUGGCCCGGCAGAAGGACACGGUGAGCCGGGCGGAGUCAGCCUACAGUGCCAACACAGGGCGGCAGGGCCGGGCAGCCCCCGCCUUCAAAGCUGGCGGUGGGCCCCGCUCCGCCCACGCUCUGGACCUGGAGGCCGAGGAGGAAAGGGUGCGUCUGUGCGAGGACCGCUUGGGGCUCGCCGGCCGUGAGCUGCUGCUGCAGGACAACAAGGACCUCGUGGAGUUCGCCCGGAUCCACCCGUCAAGCGGCUGCCCUGGAGACCUGGCCCCCCAUCUCAUGAUCGCCGGGGGCUCCUCCCUGCAGAGCAGCCAGCUGGGCGGGGACACAGCCCCCCAUCCCCACCCUGCCCACCCCCCCUGGCUGCCCCGCACCCGCAGCCCCUCCCUGUGGAUGGGGGGACAUUCCUACGGCCUCGGGCACCCUGCCCUGCACCAGAACCUGCCCCCCGGCUUCCCUGCGUCCGUGCCUGGCUCCAUGCCCCCCGUCUUCCCCCUCUCCCAGGAUGCCCCCACACAGCUCGUCAUCCUGCCUCCUGAGCCCACACCCCACGCCGCCCCCCAUGCACUUGCUGAUGUCAUGGACCAGGCUUCACUGUGGCCCCCCAUGUACGGGGGCCGGGGCCCUGCCUCCCACAUGCAGCACCCAGGCCAGCUCCCUGUCUACUCGCGGUCCCAGUUCCUACGGCAGCAGGAGCUCUACGCCCUGCAGCAGCAGCAGCAGCGGGCCGCUCAGGCUCUGGAGCAGCAGCGGGCCACCCAGUUCCAGCAGAAGCCUGAGGACCGCCACCUGGAGCUGGAGGAGCCCGCCCAGGAGAAGGCCUUGAAGUCCACCCACAAGCCAGUUGCCUUAACCCCCACGGCCAAGGGCACCCCCUCACCCGCCACCGCAGGCCCUGCCAAGCUGUCACCCUGCUGCCACUCUCCCGCCCCGAAGCCCCCCGCCGCCAGCUGCCCUACACCACCGCUGCAUCCUGGCGCCCCGUGCACUUUAUCCGUCUGCCCCACCGGCAGCCCCGGGCCAGGCUCCAAGCUGCCCAGCGCCGAGGAGAAGAGUGGGGAGGGCCAGCGGCCCGGAGCCGACUUCAACACGUUGGAACCAGACCUGCCUCCAGGAUACAUGUGCCCUGCGGCGGGCUCGGGCUUCUCCCUGCCCCGCAUUGUGCACUCAUCUGACCUCUCGGACCCCGAAACUAUGCAAACCGCCCCGCCGGGGGCCCAGCCUGAGCUGGCCAGGACGUUCCCACCCGGGGAGCUGGGCCCACACAGCCCCCAGAACCUGGAGGAGCCUGGGCUGCCCUCAGGGGCCAGGGAGGCCACCCAGGACCUUGCCGCACACCCCAACCCUGCCAAGCGGGGACCCCCGGGGAAGGCAGCAGACCCCAGCCCACUGGAGGGGCUGCGAGAACUGCGGUGUGGGGCCCUCCUCGAGGGAGGGGGACCUGAGGCCACUGGCCAGGCUGAUUCUACUCAGGGAGGGGCCCAAGAGGAGAGGACCACAGAGGAGGGACGGGAGGAGGGAGAGCAGGGGCCCUCAUUGGGGGCCAGCCCCCAGGCCACAGAGCAGCCGGCAAGGAGCCUGGGUGCCCCGGAUCAGGCCACGCCAGGCGAGCAGCAGGCCCCUGCAGAAGCAGAGGCGGAGGAGGCGGCCAAGUUCAAGGAGGCCGAGCUGGAGGAGGAGGAGGAGGAGGACUGGGGGCUGACUCCCGAAAACAGCCAGCCGCCCAGGGAGCUGCCGGGUCUGGACGCCCUGGUGGCAGCCACCAUCAACCUGGGGGAUCUGCCCGCUGUCAGCCCACUGGACCCUCAGCCCCGCACUGUCCCUGGGCCACCCAGCACAGCUCCCCUGCCCCGUAGCUCAGGGAUUCAUGGCAUUGCCCUGCUCAGCGAGCUGGCCGACCUGGAAAUCCAGCAGCAGAGGACUGAGCCAGACCUACAAGAGGAGGAGGAUGUGCUAGCCUUCAACCUGCAGCGCCUGGCCACGCUGGCCUCAGCCUGGUCCCUGGUAGAGGCUGCUGGCCUGGACAGCCCCGCCUCCUUGGCCCAGCCCUCCGCUGCCGACUCCUGCAGGGCUCCCACGCUCACCCCCCGUAUGCAGAUCCUGCAGCGCAAGGACACCUGGACCCCCAAGACCAAGCCUGUAUGCCCACUGAAGGCUGCCAUCGACCGGCUGGACACACAGGAGGUAGAGAUGCGCGUGCAGCUGGCGGAGUUGCAGAGGCGCUACAAGGAGAAGCAGCGGGAGCUGGCCCGGCUGCAGCGCAGGCAUGACCAUGAGAGAGACGAGAGCUCACGGAGCCCUGCCAGGCGAGGCCCCGGCCGGCCACGGAAGCGCAAAUACUCCAGCUUGCUGCCUGCCCUGCGACCCAGCGAAGGCAAGAAAGUCAAGGCAGUGCGGUCCAGCCUGAGCCUGCUGUGCACCGAGCUGCGGGGCGGCGAUGAUGAGCCCUCAAAGAAGCGAGGCCGGCUGGAGAAGGGCACCUACGUGGGCCUGCAACCCACAUCUGCGGAGAAGGUUCGGUGCAAGAAGAGCAGCGGUCAGGGCGACCUGGCAUCUGCAGUGGCCCACAAGGUGGCCCAGCUGAAGCCGAAGGUCAAGAGCAAGGGGCUGCCCACCAGCCUCAGCCCCUUCCGGCGGAAGGAGGCCACCCCAGGGGGUCGCAUCCGGAAGAAGCUGUCACGAGCCAAGAGCGCCAAGGUGUCUGGGGCAGCCCGGCACCCACAGCCAGAUGGUGGUGUUGCUGGCAGGGAGACACCUAAGUUCCCAGCCCAGCCGGCAGCGGCCACAACACAUGAGGCAGGCAACGGCUCGGACAGUGAAAACUGCGAGGGUCUGUUGGAAACAGAGGCACCUCCCAAGGACCCCGGGCUGGCACUGCACGCUGGGGCCCGCGUGGCCGUGCUGGGGCCCUCGCCCUCCUCCGUGGUCAAGAUGGAGGCCAACCAGAAGGCCAAGAAGAAGAAGGAGAGGCAGGGCUUGCUAGGGGCCUGCCGCCUGUCCAGCCCCGAGAGUGAGGUCAAGGUCAAGAGGAGGACGGUGAAGGCCAAGGUGGGCGGCAAGCUGGAGCGGGCCCCGGGGCGCAGGCCCCCAGGUGGGCCUGGCAAGAAGAAAGCCAAGGGCAAGGCCAAGGGCAGCCUGCGGGCAGAGCCGGGGGCCACACCCGGCAGGGAAGCCCUCUGCAGCCCCACCCGGGCCUUCACCUGCCACGAGGAGGGCAGCAGGCUGGCCAGUGAGCGCCUCAAGAGAGCCACGCGCAAGAGCACGGUGCUCCAGCCAGGGCUGCGGCGGAAGAACGGGGCCCUGUCCAUCGCCCUGUCGCCCCGCAACGCCAAGGCCAUCCUGGGGAGGGGCAGGAAAGCGGGCAAGGUGAAAACCAAGGCUGCCGGCAAACAGGGCAAGGGCCGGGCGGUGAGCCGGCUGCUGGAGAGCUUCGCAGUGGAGGACGACUUUGAGUUUGAAGACAGCAGCAGCCUCUCAGAGGAGGAGGAGGCCAGGGGCCCCCUGAGCGCCGAGCAGAGCGCCGCCUUGGCACGCUCAUGCACCAUCCACAAGGAGGACCUACAGGACGGGCUGCCCGUGCUCAUCCCCAAAGAGGACAGUCUGCUAUACGCGGGCAGUGUCAGGACCCUGCAGCCCCCCGACAUCUACAGCAUCGUCAUCGAGGGUGAGAGAGGCAACCGGCAGAGGAUCUACUCACUGGAGCAGCUGCUGCAGGAGGCGGUUCUUGAUGUCCGGCCACAGUCCAGCAGGUACCUCCCGCCCGGCACGAGGGUCUGUGCCUACUGGAGCCAGAAGUCCCGCUGCCUGUACCCAGGCAGCGUAGUGCGAGGCGCCUCCAGUGAUGAGGAAGACGACCUGGACUCCGUGGUGGUGGAGUUUGACGAUGGGGACACCGGCCACAUUGCUGUCUCCAACAUCAGGCUGCUGCCUCCGGACUUCAAGAUCCAGUGCACAGAGCCCUCGCCAGCCCUGCUGGUGUCCAGCGGCUGCCGAAGGACCAAGAAAUCUUCCUGCGAGGCGCCCCCACCUGGUGAGGCCGCCGCUCCCAGCCUGUCUCCCAAGGCACACGAUGGCCCUGAAGCCUCAAAGACCCCCGGGAAGAAAUCCGCAGGCAAAGACAAAGCUGGCAAAGCGGAGCUCCUGGCCUCUGGUACCAAGCCCUCCGCGGGGGCCUCAGACCACUUCCUGGGCCGCCGGGGCAGCCCGCUGCUGAGCUGGUCCACGGUGGCGCAGACCAAGCGGAAGGCGGUGGCCACGGCCGCAGCAGGUGGCAAGGGGCCGGGCGUGCUGCAGAACCUCUUCCAACUCAACGGCAGCGCCAGGAAGCUGCGGGCCCGCGAGGCGCUCUUCCCCGUCCACAGCGUGGCUGCUCCCGUGUUUGGCAACGGCUUCCGCGCCGACUCCUUCAGCAGCCUGGCCAGCUCCUACGCUCCCUUUGUCGGUGGGGCCGGGCCCGGCCUGCCCGGGGGUGCCCACAAGCUGCUGCGGGCCAAGAAGGCCGAGCGGGCGGAGGCCGAGAAGGGCGGGCGGCGGCGGGCGGGCGGCGAGUUCCUGGUCAAGCUGGACCAUGAGGGCGUGACCUCCCCCAAGAGCAAGAACUGCAAGGCGCUGCACGCGGGUGACAAGGAUGUGGGGCCCAGGCCAGGGAGGCCCCUGCCCGGCCCCAGCUAUGGGCACCCAGCCCUUGUGGGCAAGGACAGGAAGGGGCGGUCGCCUGUCCACCCGCUGCCCAUGGGGCUGGCGCUGCGCAAGUUUGCAGGCCAGGCCGAGUACCCGCUGCCCUGCGACAGUGACUGCCACAGCUCCUACUCGGACGAGGAGGAGGACGGGCCUGGCCUGGCCCCCGGCGUGCCCUCCCGCUUCCUCGCCCGCCUUUCUGUGUCCUCCUCCUCCUCGGGCUCAUCCACCUCCUCCUCCUCUGGCUCCCUGUCCACCUCCAGCCUCUGCUCCUCGGAUGACGAGGGCUCCUCCUACAGCUCAGACGAGGAGGACCCAGCCCUGCUGCUGCAGACCUGCCUCACCCACCCGGUGCCCGCCCUCCUGGCCCAGCCCGAGGCCCUGCGCUCCAAGGGGGCUGGCCCACACCCGCACGCCCAGCGCUGCUUCCUGUCCAGGGCCGCGGUGGCCGGUGGGGGCGUGGGCGCGGGCCCCAGCAGUGGCAGACCCAGGCUCAAGCGCAAGGAGGCCCUGAGCUUCUCCAAAGCCAAAGAGCUGUCCCGGAGGCAGCGGCUGCCCUCCGUGGAAAACCGGCCAAAGAUCUCAGCCUUCCUGCCUGCCCGGCAGCUCUGGAAGUGGUCGGGGAACCCCACACAGAGACGCGGCAUGAAGGGGAAGGCCAGGAAGCUGUUCUACAAGGCCAUCGUCCGGGGCAAGGAGACGCUUCGCAUCGGGGACUGUGCCGUCUUCCUGUCAGCUGGGCGGCCCAACCUGCCCUACAUCGGCCGCAUUGAGAGCAUGUGGGAGUCGUGGGGCAGCAACAUGGUGGUGAAGGUCAAGUGGUUCUACCACCCAGAGGAGACCAAGCUGGGGAAGCGGCAGAGCGACGGGAAGCAGAACGCGCUGUACCAGUCCUGCCACGAGGAUGAGAACGACGUGCAGACCAUCUCCCACAAGUGCCAGGUAGUGGGGCGCGAGCAGUAUGAGCAGAUGACACGGAGCCGCAAGUGCCAGGACCGGCGGGACCUCUACUACCUGGCGGGCACCUACGACCCCACCACCGGGCGCCUGGUGACGGCCGAUGGUGUGCCCAUCCUGUGCUGAGCCUGCACAGACCGGCUGCAGGUGACCCACCUGCCCCGCCAUGCCCAGUGCCAGAGCCACAGGGACGUGAGGACAUGAGGACCCAGCCCCAUGCCUCCGAGCGGGAGGCUGGCCCACACCUCGGAGGGGCAGGUCUGAGCAAAUAUGCAAACCCACCAAGGCAAGAUCCAGGCUUUUUUAUUAUUUUCCCUGGAAGGAGAGAGAGCUUUUGGGCAUCAGAACCCAGUUCAUCCGUCUGCUGCGGAGGGUCAGCUGUGCCCCGACUGGGACCUACCGGCCCUCUCUGUUUUCCCACAUCGGCAGUUCACGAGAGAUUAGAAUCCAAGCCAUAUUUUCCCUAGUACCUCCGACUGUCUCCCACCAGGGAAAGCAGAAAUCAGUUAUUUCUGAUUUCCGUCUCAAUGGCCAGCUUGUCCAGCCUUCACUCAGAGCAAGGAAGGAACUUGCCCCCGCCAGCUCAUGUGGAGGUUUCUGGGACUUUUCUGCGGCCACUUGGCAGGGCCGCUGGCCUGGCAGGGUAGUGCUUGGGGCACAGAGCAGGGUUCCGUCCUGCCUACAACCCAGCCUCAGGUGCACGGAGCAGCCCUCUGCCCAGCGCCCUGGCUACCGUUGUGCCGUGUGGGUGUCCCAGACCCUCAGCACCACCCCCGUAACCCUGGAGAACUCAUCACACCUCCACUUCUCCUGAGGCCAAGAGGGACAAGCAGGGCAAGCCAGACCCGUGGCCCAGCAGCCCUUGUCCCCGAAAAUACGCACUGAGGGCCACGUGCUCCCAUGUCUCACCAUGCUAAGUCUCCCCUGGCCACAAUGGGAGCCCCAGGAAGGCCUCCCAAGUUAGCCACUGCUCCUUAGGACGGGCUCUUGUGUGACCCACAGGCACAGGCCAGGUACCUGGGAAAUAAGGGAUGUCAGUGGGUGCCCGGGCCCCUUUUUCUUUCCAACCAGGAAAUCACCCCUCCCCCGCUCCUGGUGGCUCCACGGGAAGUAUAGGGACAUGGAGGGAUUCCCCUGCACCGCAGCUUUCUUCUCCCACCCCAACUCUCCACUUUGUCUCGGCUCGAGUGCAAUAUUUCAUUCUGGUAGUCGUCCUGGAGAGGCGGCUGAGGUCCUGCUGGCGGCUGGGGAAGUGGCAAGAUGCUGUGGGGCGACGCGGCCAGUGCCAAGGCAUGUGUGGGGAAGCCCCAACCACAGAAAUUAGAACCUGAGGCUACUUCCAACCCCAAGCACCGAGGCAGGAGCGAACGAACAGGCAGCCUUUUCUUGGCCUCCCGCCCUCCCAUUGGUUCUUCUCCCUAGUCCAUGGACUUUUGUCCUUUGCUUUUCUCUUCCCAUCCCCCUCUGUCCGUGUGCUUGCGGACAGCGCGGCCCUUCCCACCAUGGUUAAACCUGGCAAAAGCACGACUCUUGUAAAUGUGUAAACUAAGAGGAUGGUUGAAUUUUUUUUUCAAUGUAAACACUAAAAACAAACAAAAAAAAUACAAAGGUUUUAUGAACAGCAAACUCUAUGUAAAGGCAUUUUAGUAUUAAAUUUUUUAUUGAUAACUUGCUUAAGAAUAAAUAUAUGAACUAUU